GAAAAAUACGCUAGAUUUUAAAUGUUAGAGCUGUUCCCGGAGACUUAUUGCAGAAAUAGAUGAGAAGCAAAUCAAGACUACUAUUCAAAAAUCAAAUACCAAACAGCUAUCAUAUGAUGAGGUUGUAAAUCAGUCUAGUCCAAGCAACUGUACUGUAUACUGUGGAGGUGUUACUUCUGGGCUAACAGAACAACUAAUGCGUCAGACUUUUUCACCAUUUGGACAAAUAAUGGAAAUUCGAGUCUUUCCAGAUAAAGGAUAUUCAUUUGUUCGGUUCAAUUCCCAUGAAAGUGCAGCACAUGCAAUUGUUUCUGUUAAUGGUACUACCAUUGAAGGUCAUGUUGUGAAAUGCUAUUGGGGCAAAGAAACUCUUGAUAUGAUAAAUCCCGUGCAACAGAAUCAAAUUGGAUAUCCCCAACCUUAUGGCCAGUGGGGCCAGUGGUAUGGAAAUGCACAACAAAUUGGCCAGUAUAUGCCUAAUGGUUGGCAAGUUCCUGCAUAUGGAAUGUAUGGCCAGGCAUGGAA
rnacentral:lncRNA from 1 species